UCCUCUGUGUGAGCAGGCAGGAUGGCAGGGGCGGAGGUCUACGGCCCCGUUAACCCCUCCUGCAAGAUCAUGACCUUCAGGCCCACCGUGGAGGAAUUCAGAGACUUCAACCGGUACCUGGCCUACAUGGAGGCCCAGGGGGCGCACCGCGCUGGCCUCGCCAAGGUGAUUCCUCCUAAGGGCUGGCGUCCUCGGUGUAGCUAUGAUGAUAUUGAUGACCUGGUGAUCCACGCCCCUAUCCAGCAGAUGGUUGCUGGCCAGUCAGGCCUGUUCACUCAGUUCAACAUCCAGAAGAAACCGCUCAGCGUUAAGGAGUUUAGACGCCUCGCCAACAGUGACAAAUAUUGUACUCCCCGCUACCUGAACUAUGAGGACCUGGAGAGGAAGUACUGGAAGAACCUAACCUUCGUAUCUCCCAUAUAUGGAGCUGACGUCCCCGGGAGCCUCUAUGACGAGGGUAUAGAGGAGUGGAACAUCGGCCACCUCAACUCCAUCCUGGAUGUGAUUGAAGAGGACUGUGGUGUUUCUAUCCAGGGGGUGAACACACCCUACCUGUACUUCGGCAUGUGGAAGACCAGCUUCUCCUGGCACACUGAAGACAUGGACCUUUAUAGCAUCAACUACCUGCACUUUGGAGAGCCCAAGUCCUGGUAUGCCAUCCCCCCUGAGCAUGGGAAGAGACUGGAGAGACUGGCUACAGGUUUCUUCCCCAACGGGUUUAAAGGGUGUGAGGCUUUUCUCCGUCACAAGAUGACCCUGAUCUCCCCUUCCAUCCUAAAGAAGUACAGCAUCCCCUUCGACAAGAUCACCCAGGAGGCAGGGGAGUUUAUGAUCACCUUUCCCUAUGGUUACCACGCUGGCUUCAACCACGGCUUCAACUGUGCGGAGUCGACCAACUUCGCCAGUGUCCGAUGGAUUGACUACGGCAAGGUGGCCACUCAGUGUACAUGCAGUAAAGACAUGGUGAAGAUCAGCAUGGAUCCCUUUGUGAAGUGGUUCCAACCGGACCGCUAUGCUGUAUGGAAGCUGGGGAAAGACUCCUGUCCUCUGGACCACACCCGAGCCACGCCCGCCACCACCCCAGAACUGCAGAACUGGCUUCAGCGCAGCCGGGUCAAGACCCCUGUGAACAGCAGCCUCUCACACCCACGGACCAGAUCCAAGCGCCUGAGGACCAGCGAGGAGCCUGUAGCCUUGGAAGGGUGCUCUGUCCUGGGUAGGAGGAGAGGCCUCGGAGGCCCCCUGGGUCCCAAGGUCCGGCGAGGCUGCAGGGCCGGGGAGGAUGAGGACGAUGAGGAGGAAGGACCGGAUCAGACUGAGAAUACACUCCGGCUCCCUGGUCCUUGUCGGCAGAUGUGUGUGGUGAAAGUCAACAGAAUGGAAGUGGAGAGAGACCGGUUGGCCUUCCCCUGUCCUCCUGAACCUCUGCGUCCCUCGUCUUUCCCCUCUCCCUCUUCCGACUUCUCUUCUCGCCCCUCUCCCCUUCUGACCCCUGUCUCAGUGGACCCCACAGAACAAGGGACAGGGGCGGGGACUCACCCUUCACCCCAUCUGCAUCCCGCUAACCCUCCACAGAACCCCUCGGGGUCAGAGUUCGCAGAGGUCAUUAAAGGACCCCAUCAGAGGUCCGAGGCUGCCCCUACACCUGCCCGAUCAGAAAGAAGAGAAAUCCCCGGAGGACCGUUGAAGUCAGUAUGUAUAGAAUCGACCCCGCUGGGACAGGUCCCCGAGGACUGCUCUGUGAAUGUCCACCCUUUACGGACCAGGUUACCUUCCCCCAGAACGGUGCACCCGACUGGGGCUCAGGGGUGGACGGACUCGGCCUGUGGCCCUGGAGCUUUUCAAUCAAGUUCUUCUUGUGUAGAGAAGUCUUCUUUAAACCUAACCUCAACCCCCAGCACUGAGUAUAAAAUGGAUAAGUGUCAAGGUACCGCGGUAAAUACUACUACUACGCACAGCAGUCACACCUCUGAAAGCAAAACACCAGCACUUUACAAUGACAUUUACACGGAUACUGACUCUGGGUCCAGAGGACGUGUUAUUUCCAGCUCUGGUUCUGGUUCUGGUCCAGCUAGCUUGUUCAGGUGUAGUGAAAAAAACUACACUCCCGUUGAAAACCGUUCCUCUCUCCCUGUGUGUACUACACACAACCGUGUCCCCAUACGAAACCCUUCCCUUCUUCCGAGGUGUAGUUUACAAGACUGUUGCCCUCCUCUCCUCCAGAGGAACAACGGGGUGGACAUGCCCUUCCUCACUCCAGAACUAUCUGGAGAGACGAGGUUCUGCCCGCCCCUGCCGCCCGUUCUCACCCAGGAGAUGCCCUCCCUCACACUCGCCGUCAGCGGAGGUCACGCCGAGAUCAAAGGUCAGAGUUCGUCGUCCUCCUCGACUGGCCGACACGGUGGUGCUCUAACCUCACCGGAUUUGCCGGGCAGUCACCCGGUCCUCGCCCCCGUGCUCCGACGCGAGACACCCACGACCCUCUCGCCAGGAACGGAAACGUUAACGUGCGAGGUGGAGUUGGCGUCAAAGAAGUCGGAGCAAGAGGAUUUUCGACCGUUAGCGCCUUGCAGAGACUGGCGCUUGGGUUCUGCUGAAGACCACCACCAUAGACCAGAGCUGGAUUUACAGGUAACGGCUUACGUGGCUAAUGCAACUAGCAACGCUCGGCCCAAAAUGGACACCUCUGAACACAAAAUGGCCCCCUCUCGGCACUCUGGUCCUACUGAAGACCACCACCAUAGGCCAGAGCUGGAGUUACAGGUAGCAGCUUACGCGGCUAGUGCAACUAGCGGCGCUCAACCCGAAAUGGACGCCUCUGAACACAAAAUGGCCCCCUCUCGGCACUCUGGUCCUACUGAAGACCACCACCAUAGGCCAGAGCUGGAGUUACAGGUAGCAGCUUACGCGGCUAGUGCAACUAGCGACGCUCAACCCGAAAUGGACGCCUCUCUGCAGAAAAUGGCCGCCGGCACUUCCCACCGAGAAGCACUACCAAUCCAAACAUUGUCUGAGGCAGUGCUGACCCCCGAGAACCACUGUAGUCAAACCUCCGCGGAGACCCUUGCUAGCAAUAAUAACCACAUGCUCUGUGACGUUACACUACUGCCAGCGCAGAAAACCCAGAAACACAGGGCCUCGGCGGCAACUGCAGCAGUGCCCACGGACUCCGACUCAGAGGGAUCCUCCCAAAGAGACCAUGUAUUUAGAGACUCCAGUACUCAGGGUUUAUGUCUAGCGAGCACCAGUUUGACUUGUAAAGAUAAGUUGGCACACUCUUCUGAGCUGAGUGAAUUAAAUGACCAUUCAGCAACGGUACAACACCAAAACAACCAUGACCAAACUCCACACUCAAACAUGGAUACCGUUUGUAGUUCCCGAAAUGUGGAUUCCAUUUGUAGUUCCCGAAACGUGGAUUCCAUUUGUAGUUCCCGAAACGUGGAUUCCAUUUGUAGUUCCCAAAACGUGGAUUCCAUUUGUAGUUCUCGAAACGUGGACUCUGUUUGUAGUUCCCAAAGCCUCUACCUGGAGCCCAAACCUUUCUCAGACGGCAUCUGGAAGAACCUCAACUCCCAGAGUCCUGCGGUGCUCAUCGAGAGCCUCCACCACCCGGAGCUCCCCGCCGACUAUACCCACGAUGCACUACCUUACACCAUGUGGACCGAGCCGCAGUGCAAAGAGGUCACAGACCUCGAUCACGAAACUGAGACGGACGACCAGGACCCAGAGGGACAUGGGGACGGGCCUCUCACCUGGGCCCAGCUGGAGUCCACCUCUCUGGGGUCGGCCGGUGUCGGGGAGCCCCUGGGCCUCUGUGGAGACUUUGAGCUCCAGAGAGGGGAGGUGGAGGCAGCGGAAGCCCUGGCUCUGUGCAGGGAACUGGGGGUGGAGAGGGAGGCCGAGGGGGCUCUAGAAGCUGACCCUCCCGAAUCGCCCUUGGAGGAGAGACCGGGGAAGGAGAGGUGUCAGAUAUGGAAGAGGGAGAUUCGGAGGAUGAGGGGCAGAGCAGCACGAGGGAGGAGAGUAGUAGUGAGUCAUCGGAAGGAGAGGCUGAAGAAGAGGAGGAAGACUAUGAUAAUGAUUUGAGCGACUUUGAGUGUGGCGACUCGGGGCUGGAACCUGGAGAGGUUUGCACUUACCCUGUUGCUCCGCUGGUGAAGAGAACCAGUAAGAGCUGGCGUCGCCCUCUGAGGAGGCCCACCGCCCGGGCCGUGCCCUCCACUG